GUGAGUAACCUGCCCUCCACUUCGGGAUAACCUCGGGAAAUCGUGGCUAAUACCGGAUACGAGCACUCAUCGCAUGGUGGGUGCUGGAAAGAUUUAUCGGUGGGGGAUGGACUCGCGGCCUAUCAGUUUGUUGGUGAGGUGAUGGCUCACCAAGACGAUGACGGGUAGCCGGCCUGAGAGGGCGACCGGCCACACUGGGACUGAGACACGGCCCAGACUCCUACGGGAGGCAGCAGUGGGGAAUAUUGCACAAUGGGCGAAAGCCUGAUGCAGCGACGCCGCGUGGGGGAUGACGGCCUUCGGGUUGUAAACCCCUUUCAGUAGGGAAGAAGCGAGAGUGACGGUACCUGCAGAAGAAGCGCCGGCUAACUACGUGCCAGCAGCCGCGGUAAUACGUAGGGCGCAAGCGUUGUCCGGAAUUAUUGGGCGUAAAGAGCUUGUAGGUGGCUUGUCGCGUCUGCCGUGAAAACCCGAGGCUCAACCUCGGGCGUGCGGUGGGUACGGGCAGGCUAGAGUGUGGUAGGGGAGACUGGAACUCCUGGUGUAGCGGUGAAAUGCGCAGAUAUCAGGAAGAACACCGAUGGCGAAGGCAGGUCUCUGGGCCAUUACUGACACUGAGAAGCGAAAGCAUGGGUAGCGAACAGGAUUAGAUACCCUGGUAGUCCAUGCCGUAAACGUUGGGCACUAGGUGUGGGGGACAUUCCACGUUUUCCGCGCCGUAGCUAACGCAUUAAGUGCCCCGCCUGGGGAGUACGGCCGCAAGGCUAAAACUCAAAGGAAUUGACGGGGG
rnacentral:rRNA from 1 species